GACGAACGCUGGCGGCGUGCCUAAUACAUGCAAGUCGAACGCAGUGGGGACGGGUGCGUAACACGUGGGUAACCUCCCAUCAGAGGGGAUAACCCUUGGAAACAGGUGCUAAACCGAUACUGAUGGAUGAACCCGCGGUGCAUUAGCUAGUUGGUGAGGUAACGGCUCACCAAGGCCACGAUGCAUAGCCGACCUGGGAGGGUGAUCGGCCACCCCGGGACUGAGACACGGCCCAGACUCCUACGUGAGGAAGCAGUAGGGAAUCUUCGGCAAUGGACGAAAGGCUGACCGAGCAACGCCGCGUGAGUGAAGAAGGUUUUCGGGUCGUAAAACUCUGUUGUUAGAGAAGCGGUAUCUAACCAGAAAGCAACGGCUAAAUACGUGCCAGCAGCCGCGGUAAUAC
rnacentral:rRNA from 1 species